CAUCCAUACAGGGGAGAAGCCCUAUCACUGC
rnacentral:piRNA from 1 species